GACAACUGGUGCAUGUGGCUGAUGCGCAGUUAUCAAGGGGCCAUCCUCCCCCUUCGCAGCGCACAAACGUGCAUGCGAACAACGGCCUGUGCCAGCCUGGGAGUUCCCAUUCGGCCACGUGACUCGGCUGAUGGGAAGGUGCAACUGGAAACCGACCACCAUUGGAGCAGACUGGGGGGAAAGUUCUAAUAGGUGUUCUUGCUUAUCCUCAAAAAUUGGCCCCUCUAGGAGAUUUCACUUGCUGCUAUCAGCCGAGCAAACUGUGCUGGGAUCUCUACUUCGUGUCCAGUUAAUUCUUCAGACUCAGGAAAACUCAGCAUCAGUCUAUGACGAGGGCACAAGGAACAUUUUGUUGGAACGUCUGCGUAGCAGUGAUGAUACCAGUUCAAAAGUGCUAUUUCCUUUAUUACUCAUUACAAAUCAGUCACCCGCUAAUGUGUCCUUUAAAGCUAUCUAUAUUCCAAGAUAACAUCAAUUCUCAGAAUAAAAUAUAGCACCCAUGAAUAAAAUGUAAUUUAUUUUUCUUGAGAUAACCUCUUUCAAGCAGCAGUUAGACGAGUAAUAGGGUCAUAGAUACUUGAUUAUUCUCUUAUUUAAAAAAAAUCAGCAUCUGCAUUUUGAUAUACAGUCCAUUCUCCCUCUAACAUGGUUACGAGAAUUUUCAAUUAUAACACAAAUAACAAAUUAUUCUGGAGCUACAUGAAGAUCUCAGGCCAAAAGGUAACAUUAAGCAAUGUUUUGCUUCAAUUUCACAUCCAGGGCAGGGCCACUGAAAGAGAGAGAGAGAGAGAGAGAGAGAGAGGAAGGAAGAGAAAAAAAGAAGCAAGUUUUCAAUCUAAAUGCAUACAAUUGAGAAAUAAUACUAAUUUCCAUGAAUAAAACUUUGAUUAUCCAUAGUCAUCUGGAAAUAAGAUUUUCUACAUAUAUUCACUUUCUAGCUAACAAAGUUAAGCAUAUGCUAUGAACCUUUUUCAACUGUAUCAUAUACUUCCUUGACUUUUUCUCAUCAACUAAGCCACUGGGUUGUCCGCACUGGGGUGCCCUGGGAUAGUAAAGUGGGUAGAGCUGCUGACCCUGCCCUAAAUGACUCGGCCUGAAGCGCUUGCAAAUGGCUUUGGUUUGCAAUCUCUCCCUGGGACAGCCAUUGAAGAAGAGAAAUUCCAUCCUCUUACUCUGUUGCUUCUAUCUGCUAUUGCCUUGGGAAAACUGAAGCAACAAUGAUACUAUGUUCAUUAAAAGUCACUUUUUAAAGGCACUGACUGAGGGGAUACAGAUAUUGCCUACGGAAUUAGAACUCAGAGAAUG